rnacentral:rRNA from 1 species
UACGUAGGGGGCGAGCGUUGUCCGGAUUUAUUGGGCGUAAAGAGCUCGUAGGUGGUUCGAUAAGUCGGGUGUGAAAACUCUGGGCUUAACCCAGAGACGCCACCCGAUACUGUCGUGACUUGAGUCUGGUAGGGGAGUGUGGAAUUCCCGGUGUAGCGGUGAAAUGCGCAGAUAUCGGGAGGAACACCAGUGGCGAAGGCGGCACUCUGGGCCAGUACUGACACUGAGACGCGAAAGCGUGGGGAGCGAACAGG